rnacentral:rRNA from 1 species
AUUGAACGCUGGCGGCAUGCCUUACACAUGCAAGUCGAACGGCAGCGGGCCUUCGGGUGCCGGCGAGUGGCGAACGGGUGAGUAAUGCAUCGGAACGUGCCAUUGAGUGGGGGGAUAACGUAGCGAAAGUUGCGCUAAUACCGCAUAUUCUGUGAGCAGGAAAGCAGGGGACCGCAAGGCCUUGCGCUCUUUGAGCGGCCGAUGUCAGAUUAGCUAGUUGGUGAGGUAAAGGCUUACCAAGGCGACGAUCUGUAGCGGGUCUGAGAGGAUGAUCCGCCACACUGGAACUGAGACACGGUCCAGACUCCUACGGGAGGCAGCAGUGGGGAAUUUUGGACAAUGGGGGGCAACCCUGAUCCAGCCAUGCCGCGUGAGUGAAGAAGGCCUCGGGUUGUAAAGCUCUUUCGGCCGGGUAACGGAAAUACGCAUGGGUGGAAUACCCUGUGUGGAUGACGGUACCGGAACCGAAAGAAGCACCGGCUAAC